GGUACAUUUCAGCAUAAACAGAAAUAUCUCUUGGUUUCAUCCAAUUUAUACAGUUUGUUAUGUCACAGUCCCGAUGGUAGCCCUCUAUGUUCUCUUCUUCCCAUCUAGAAGACCGUUGCAAGGCAACUUCUGUCGCACCCCUUCAUUGGAGAGAUCUGGGGUGAAAGGGGUGUGCAGAAGAACAUUGCCCAACAGCUGCACAGAGGAAUGAAGCACUAAAAGAACAAAAGAAGGCAGCCAUCGGGGGAGGGUUUGGGGCAUAGGGGGCCUAUUUAACAUCCUUGGGCCCCCCACAUAACAUCGUGGUCCCGAUGGCAGCCCUCUAUGUUCUCUUCUUCCCAUCUAGAAGACCGUCUGCAAGGCAACUUCUGUCGCACCCCUUCAUUGGAGAGAUCUGGGGUGAAAGGGGUGUGCAGAAGAACAUUGCCCAACAGCCGCACAGAGGAAUGAAGCACUAAAAGAACAGAAGAAGGCAGCCAUCGGGGGAGGGUUUGGGGCAUAGGGGGCCUAUUUAACAUCUUUGGGCCCCCCACAUAACAUCGUGGUCCCGAUGGUAGCCAUCUAUGUUCUCUUCUUCAUGGACAACAGCAUCUUCUAACAACUGCAUCUGAGAAAUCUUUAUUGUGUACUGAUUUAUACAAUAAAUAUUCCAUCUUUAGAUUAUAUCAAUCCAUGCUAGAUUUUCUUAUUGGGGAAGAUGGCCAUAAUAACCUCCAAGCCCACUGUUGGCUCAUAUCCAUAAUCCUUUUAAUAUAAAUUCUAAUGAUGAGUAAGAGAAGAAGGCAUAGC